rnacentral:rRNA from 1 species
GAGUCUAGCAUGUGUGCAAGUCAUUGGGUAUAUUUAUACAAAAUUUAAACCCAAAGGCGUAAUUAACUUAACUUAUAUAAUGGGAUUAUAUAUAUAAAUAUUUUUAUUUAUAUAUUCCAUCCCGGGGCGUUCUAUAUAGUUAUGCAUUUUAAUAUAUUUUUAAUAUAUUAUAUAUGCCUCUAACUGGAGCGUACCUUGAGCAUAUAUGUUGUGACCCGAAAGAUGGUGAACUAUACCUGAUCAGGUUGAAGUCAGGGGAAACCCUGAUGGAAGACCGAAACAGUUCUGACGUGCAAAUCGAUUGUCAGAAUUGGGUAUAGGGGCGAAAGACCGAUCGAACUAUCUAGUAGCUGGUUCCCUCCGAAGUUUCCCUCAGGAUAGCUGGUGCAAUUAAAUAUUAUUUAAAAUAAUCUUAUCUGGUAAAGCGAAUGAUUAGAGGCCUUAGGGCCGAAACGACCUUAACCUAUUCUCAAACUUUAAAUGGGUAAGAACCUAACCUUUCUUGAUAUGAAGGUAUAUAGGUUAUGAUAUAUUGUGCCCAGUGGGCCACUUUUGGUAAGCAGAACUGGCGCUGUGGGAUGAACCAAACGUGAUGUUAAGGCGCCUAAAUUAACAACUCAUACUGAUACCAUGAAAGGCGUUGCUUGCUUAAAACAGCAGGACGGUGGACAUGGAAGUCGUAAUCCGCUAAGGAGUGUGUAACAACUCACCUGCCGAAGCAACUAGCCCUUAAAAUGGAUGGCGCUCAAGUUGUAUGCCUAUACAUCACCAUUAAAGUAUAUGAUAUAUAUAUAAAUUUUUAUAUAUAAAUUUUGAAACUUUAAUGAGUAGGAGGGUACAAUGGUGUGCGUAGAAGUGUUUGGCGUAAGCCUGCAUGGAGCCGCCAUUGGUACAGAUCUUGGUGGUAGUAGCAAAUAAUCGAAUGAGACCUUGGAGGACUGAAGUGGAGAAGGGUUUCGUGUGAACAGUGGUUGAUCACGAGUUAGUCGGUCCUAAGUUCAAGGCGAAAGCCAAAAAAUGAUAAGUUACAUAUAUAUUAUAUUAUUAUAAUAAAAAAUAAAUACUUAUAAUUUAUGAACGAAAGGGAAUACGGUUCCAAUUCCGUAACCUGUUGAGUAUACGUUUGUUAUUAAAUAUGGGCUUUUAUGCUCAUCCUGGCAACAGAAACAACCAUAAAGAAGCCGUCGAGAAAUAUCGAAAGAGUUUUCUUUUCUGUUUUAUAGUCGUAUUACCAUGGAAGUCUUUCGAAGAGAGAUAUGGUAAAUGGACUAGAAGAGCAUGGCAUUUACUGCUGUGUCGAUAUUUUCUCCUCGGACCUUGAAAAUUUAUGGUGGGGUUACGCAAACUUCUUAACAGGCCGUACCGAUAUCCGCAGCU